GCCUGGCUGGCUCAGUUGGUAGAGCAUGCGACUUGUAAUGUCAGGUCAUGAGUUCAAGCCCCACGCUGGGCA
rnacentral:tRNA from 1 species